GCAAGUCGAACGGCAGUAGAACCAGCAAUGGGACUAUGAGAGUGGCGAACGGGUGCGUAACGCGUAUGCAACUUACCUCCAACUGGGGAAUAGCCCUGGGAAACCGGGAUUAACACCGCAUAAGAUGGUAGAACCGCAUGGUUCAGCCAUUAAAGUUUACGGUUGGAGAUGGGCAUGCGUACCAUUAGCUAGUUGGCGGGGUAAUAGCCCACCAAGGCGACGAUGGCUAGGGGGUCUGAGAGGAUGAUCCCCCACACUGGUACUGAGAUACGGACCAGACUCCUACGGGAGGCAGCAGUAGGGAAUAUUGGUCAAUGGACGCAAGUCUGAACCAGCCAUGCCGCGUGCAGGAUGAAGGCGCUCUGCGUUGUAAACUGCUUUUGUACGGGAAGAAUAUAUCGUUUGCGAACGGUUUUGACGGUACCGUAAGAAUAAGGAUCGGCUAACUACGUGCCAGCAGCCGCGGUAAUACGUAGGAUCCAAGCGUUGUCCGGAUUUAUUGGGUUUAAAGGGUGCGCAGGCGGCCUGAUAAGUCAGUGGUGAAAGCCCGUUGCUUAACAACGGAACUGCCAUUGAUACUGUCGGGCUUGAGUACAGUUGAGGUUGGCGGAAUGUAUCAUGUAGCGGUGAA
rnacentral:rRNA from 1 species